GACGAACGCUGGCGGCGUGCUUAACACAUGCAAGUCGAACGGUGACGAGAGAGCUUGCUCUCUCUGAUCAGUGGCGAACGGGUGAGUAACACGUGAGCAACCUACCCUUGACACUGGGAUAACAGUUGGAAACAGCUGCUAAUACCGGAUAUGAACUCAGCAGGCAUCUGCAGAGUUGGAAAGCUCCGACGGUCAAGGAUGGGCUCGCGGCCUAUCAGCUUGUUGGUGAGGUAACGGCUCACCAAGGCGACGACGGGUAGCCGGCCUGAGAGGGCGACCGGCCACACUGGGACUGAGAUACGGCCCAGACUCCUACGGGAGGCAGCAGUGGGGAAUAUUGCGCAAUGGGCGAAAGCCUGACGCAGCAACGCCGCGUGCGGGAUGACGGCCUUCGGGUUGUAAACCGCUUUCAGCAGGGACGAAAACAGACGGUACCUGCAGAAGAAGCACCGGCUAACUACGUGCCAGCCGCCGCGGUAAGAC
rnacentral:rRNA from 1 species